GGAGCGCGCUGCUGUGCGAGUGGGGUCCGCCGCGCCCUGGCUCUGCCGGUGCCGCCGCCGCCGCCGCCGCCGCCGCCGCCGUCUCGGGGGCCCCGCGCUCGCGCCGCUCCGGCUGCUGCUCUCUCCUGCCGCUGCCGAGGAAACUGACGGCGCUGGAGCGCGGCGGCUGGGCUCGGAGCCCGGGGAGUCAGCUGAUCCAGCCCACCCCGCUCGGCACCCGAGAGAGACCCCUAGCGGAGCCGCCGCGGAGGUGCGCGCGCUCGGCCGGGAGGGGCGGGAGCGGCCGGGAGGGGCCCGCGCCCCCCGCGCGCACAGGUGCGGCGUCCGCGGCUGCUCCGCGGCUGCUCCGCGCCCCGCGCGCCCCCGCCCCGGGGCUCCGCGGGCCUGCGGGAGAGGCUGGGGCGGCGCGAGGGACCGAGCGGGAUCAGGGCAAGCUGUGGCGUCUGCUUUUUGGCAUCUGAGCUCAAUUGCUGUCGUUUCCUUUCCUCCUCUUAUUUUUGCAGGUGAAUUUUGUUUUAAUCAUCAUUUUAGCCAUAUUUUGAGAGAGAACAGAAAAUGUAAACACAUGUUUUCAAUCUGAGUCACUUUUAAAGGGCUGUGUCACUUUUCAAGUCUGCCCUUUCUCUUUGUAUGCAGGAUUAGAUGGUAGUGGUGGAGGAGAAUUUGCAUAAAAAGUCCAGUGCCUUCUGGAAGAGACACCAAUUUUUUCUUUUCAAAAUUCCAUGUUCGGAAACCUUGGCCAUGAUCAAGGGCUGCCGAUGGGAAAGAACACAAAAAAAACCCAGAAAGACGUUCACCUUGAGAAGAGAGUAGACUGUACCACUGACCCAGGGUUUUACUUAUGCUGCUGAAAUCAGGAUUGGCUGCAUGAGGCUGAACAAAAGAACUAUCCCGUCAGCGCCCGAGGAGAUGCACCGAAUCAGUUCUCUAUUGCUGCAUAUCACUGCAUGUGGUUUUUAGCCUUUAUGAGUAAUGUCAUCAAUAUCCUCGUACAUACAUUUUUGCCUAUAUUAUUCAUUUUUUCUCCAUGCACAUUUUACAUGGCUCAUUGUGCCGGAGUACUUCCAGAAAAGUUGCUGCUGCCUUGAACUUAGCAUGAUUUUAUUUGAAGAAAAGGAUUUGCUUAUAAAGACCCUUUAACAAAUGUUUCCAAUUUUGUACAUGAAAGAAAUAUUAAGGUCAUUUGAACCUCUGUUUUUAUUUAAGUAUGAAUGUUUGUUAAGGUUCAGUUUCUAUCUUUGAGAAAAUUAGAAUGCAUUUACAGUAUGGUUAUAGUAUCUGAUUAUUAAUAUUCUGGGAAGAAUAAUGUAUUUUUUAAUGACCUCUGAGAUUUCAUCCUUGCCCAGGUCUAUACUGAUUUAUAGGUAUAUGUUUUACAAGCAUUUUCCUAGGAAAUUCGACCAUAUGGAAGUAGUCUGAUGAUAAAUUUAAAAAAGCCUUUGUUUUCACUUUGUGCUUUUAAAAUUAAUGGAAAUUUGAAGUGUGAGUAGGCUGCUGCUGGUUUGCACCCUUGGCAGUUUCCCAUGUGAAGCUGAAACUGGCCCCCAUAUACCCUAGAGGGUGAAGGAGAAAGAAGAGAAAGAGGCCGGCCACUCCAGGUUAGUGGGUAGCAGGUUAAUAUGCAAGGGAACUUACUUGUUCAGGGCAUCUGCAAGAUAAGUAAAUCUCUGCACCUGCCUGCCAAAAUCUUAAAAAGUUUAUAUGGAGGUCUUAACGAGGUUUAUUCACCUAUUCCAUCCAGAUGGUCUCAAUAACACAUUACUCUCUCAAGGCCAUGUCCUUGAAAUGGUCCCCACUGUGGGAACAAUGUGCAGAAUGAACAUUCCAAGGACAGGGAAGGGGACAAGGAGCCACUGAUGCCUGGGUCCAGCUGAUGGGUCAACCAGUAGUCAUAUCCUCUUGAUGACCUCCCCUAACAGCAGCAUAGCCCUAGAAAAAAAGCAACAAUAAACAUGAGUUUUUUUUUCCCCCUGGUUUUAUUGAGAUAUAAUUGACAUAUAACUUCAUACAAGUUUAAGUUGUACAACCUAAGGAUUUGAUGUAUAUGUAUAUUGUGAAAUGAUCAUCACAGUAACUUUAGCCAAUGUCCACCACCACACAGAGUUAAAAUUUUUUUUCCUUGUCAUGAGAGGGAUCCUUUUAGGAUCUAUUAUCUUAGUAACUUUCAAAUAUGCAAUAUAGUAUUAUUCAUUAUAGUCAUCAUGUUGGUCCCCAGACCUUAUUUAUGUUAUAACUGGAAAUUUGUACCUUUUGAUCCCCUUUGUUCAAUACCCACCCCCCUGCCUGCAAAUCUAAUCUGUUCCUAUUUUUUUUUAUUUUUAAUUUUUUUUUAAAGAUUGUAUUUAUUUAUUUGAGAGAGAGAGAGCAGGAGUCAGAGGGAGGGUCCGAGAGAGAGGAAGAAGCCUCAGCUGGGACUUGAUCCCAGGACCCUGAGAUCAUGACCUGAGCUGAAAUCAGAUGCUUAACCCACUUAGCCACCCAGUGCCCUAAUAAUUUUUUUUUCAAAUUCCACAUAUGAGAUCAUGUGAUAUUUAUCUUUUUCAGUCUGACUUACUUCCCUGAAAUAUUAUAACACUGGAUUUAUCACCAUUCAGAUGAAUGCUAGACUGUGGUAUGCUUUUGUCCACAUUCCAGUAUAUUUAGACUGAGGGAUAAUUUCAGUAUCCAGCCUGUCAAAAGAUAUUGACUUCACUGUACAUGAAAAGAGUGG
rnacentral:lncRNA from 1 species